CCUCCCCCGGGUCGGACGCCUUGAGGAGCCGCGGGCGGGCGGGCGGACGGACUGACGGGAGGGCCGGGCGGUGAGCAAGAUGGCGCAGACUCAGGGCACCAAGAGGAAAGUCUGUUAUUACUACGAUGGUGAUGUUGGAAACUACUAUUAUGGACAAGGCCACCCGAUGAAGCCUCACCGAAUCCGCAUGACUCACAAUUUGCUGCUCAACUAUGGUCUCUACCGAAAAAUGGAAAUCUAUCGUCCUCACAAAGCCAAUGCUGAGGAGAUGACCAAGUACCACAGUGAUGACUACAUUAAGUUCUUGCGUUCCAUUCGCCCAGAUAACAUGUCUGAGUACAGCAAGCAGAUGCAGAGAUUCAACGUUGGUGAGGACUGUCCAGUGUUCGAUGGCCUGUUUGAAUUCUGUCAGCUGUCUACUGGUGGCUCUGUGGCAAGUGCUGUGAAACUGAAUAAGCAGCAGACGGACAUCGCCGUGAACUGGGCUGGGGGUCUGCAUCAUGCAAAGAAGUCUGAAGCAUCUGGUUUCUGUUACGUCAAUGAUAUCGUCUUGGCCAUCCUGGAACUGCUAAAGUAUCACCAGAGGGUGCUGUAUAUUGACAUUGAUAUUCACCAUGGCGAUGGUGUGGAAGAGGCCUUCUAUACCACGGACCGGGUCAUGACUGUGUCCUUUCAUAAGUACGGAGAAUACUUCCCAGGAACUGGGGACCUACGGGAUAUUGGGGCUGGCAAAGGCAAGUACUAUGCUGUUAACUACCCCCUCCGAGAUGGGAUCGAUGACGAGUCCUAUGAAGCUAUUUUCAAGCCAGUCAUGUCCAAAGUAAUGGAGAUGUUCCAGCCUAGUGCUGUGGUCUUACAGUGUGGCUCAGACUCCCUAUCUGGAGAUCGGUUAGGUUGCUUCAAUCUGACCAUCAAAGGGCAUGCCAAGUGUGUGGAGUUUGUCAAGAGUUUCAACUUGCCCAUGCUAAUGCUGGGAGGAGGUGGAUACACCAUCCGCAAUGUUGCUCGCUGUUGGACUUAUGAAACAGCCGUGGCCCUGGACACAGAGAUCCCUAACGAGCUACCAUACAAUGACUACUUUGAAUACUUUGGACCGGACUUCAAGCUUCACAUCAGCCCUUCUAACAUGACUAACCAGAACACUAAUGAAUAUCUGGAAAAGAUCAAGCAGCGGCUCUUUGAGAACUUGAGAAUGCUGCCCCAUGCUCCUGGUGUCCAAAUGCAGGCCAUACCCGAGGAUGCCAUCCCAGAGGAGAGUGGUGAUGAGGACGAAGAAGACCCUGACAAACGCAUUUCCAUCUGCUCCUCUGACAAACGAAUUGCCUGUGAAGAAGAAUUCUCUGAUUCAGAUGAGGAGGGAGAAGGUGGUCGCAAGAACUCAUCUAAUUUCAAAAAAGCCAAAGUAGUCAAAACAGAGGAUGAAAAAGAAAAAGAUCCAGAAGAGAAAAAAGGUGGGUUUGGAUUAAACCAGGACUUGGGUUUAUGUAGGACACAGGAAAGAGCUGACCCAGGCCCAGCUAGCUUCUGGGGAGCAUUAGUUAACUGAAUUCCUUGGGCCUUUCAGUGGCUCCUAGAAGUAGCAAGACCCACAGAACAAUGACUCUUGGUCUGUGCUGGCUGACCAGCUCUCACGUACCACCCAAGCCCUUUUCCUAGCACUUUGCCCUGUUUCCCAGGGGGCUGCCUCUGCCUGUGUUCUGGCUAAAACUGGCUGGGAAACUGGUCUAACCUGUUUGUUUUCAGCCAGACUCACCAGACCUGGGAUGGGCUUUUCUCAUUUCUCUAGAACCAGUGAACUGUAAUGUUGAAAAGAAGGGAUUCAGGGUAGAAGAGUCCCACUGCUUGAGCUGGGUCUUGUGAGGCUUUCAACCAUCCUGUGCUCUUAUGUUCUAGAAGUCACAGAAGAGGAGAAAACCAAGGAGGAGAAGCCAGAAGCCAAAGGGGUCAAAGAAGAGGUCAAGUUAGCCUGAGCAAGAUCUGCAACUGUGGCCUCUCCAAGUUCCUCACUUUCCCCAGUCUCUCAGAUUUUAUAUUUUCUAUUCCUCUGUGUAUUUAUAUAAAAUAUAUUAAAUAUAAUGUCCCCAGGGACCAGAGCCCAGGGCAGUGGUGCUGGGGGAAUUCUUCCCAAAGACCCCUUGUCCAUCCUGCUCAGGUCUUAAGUUUUGAACCACGUAGGGUCUGAGUGGAAAGAAAACAACCAGAAGACAAAAUCCUGAACUGCCAAGUGCCUGCUUUAGGAGCUCUGUUAAGAUGCCCUUAUGAAGCUUUCUAGAAGGGGUGACUGGCUCUUCUGGGGCCCCUUAGGUAAUAUCAGCCAAUUUUAAGAUUGGUAUACCUUCCCACUGGACUCAGGCAAGCAGAAAAACUCCCAUUGCCCUAUCUUCCCCUAACUCUGCAGGUGGAGGUGUUAGCCCAGCAGCUUCCUUUUUGAGAUAUUUUCAUUUUUAGACUUUGUAAUAAAGCAGCACAUUUCUACAC